GGAGGCUUCGCCUAGUCCGGUCUAUGGCGCCGCACUGCUAAUGCGGUUUGGGUUCAUCGCCCAUCCGGGGUUCAAAUCCCCGAGCCUCCG
rnacentral:tRNA from 3 species